rnacentral:rRNA from 1 species
AUUGAACGCUGGCGGCAGGCCUAACACAUGCAAGUCGAGCGGUUGCAGGGAGCUUGCUGCUGGAUUCAGCGGCGGACGGGUGAGUAAUGCCUAGGAAUCUGCCUGGUCGUGGGGGAUAACGUCCGGUACCGGGCGCUAAUACCGCUUCCGCAUUGCGGGACAAAGCCGGGGAUCUUCGCACUCGACGCUCUCAGCUGAGCCUAGGUCGGAUUAGCUAGUUGGUGGGGUAAAGGCAUACCAAGGCGACGAUCCGUAACUGGUCUGAGAGGAUGAUCAGUCACACUGGAACUGAGACACGGUCCAGACUCCUACGGGAGGCAGCAGUGGGGAAUAUUGGACAAUGGGCGAAAGCCUGAUCCAGCCAUGCCGCGUGUAUGAAGAAGGUCUUCGGAUUGUAAAGUACUUUAAGUUGGGAGGAAGGGAAGUAAGUUAAUACCUUUCCGUAUUGACGUUACCAACAGAAGAAGCACCGGCUAACUUCGUG